AGGCAACCCUCCGAACAGAACUGGAAACAAACAGAAGGGAGGAAAUUAAAUAUACUCAAGACUUUUAGAAGAAUCGCUAAAAAUUGGAGAAGAAAAGGCAGCACAACCAAGCACAAGAAGACCAUUUAGAGGGGCAAAGGCAACCCUCCGAACAGAACUGGAAACAAACAGAAGGGAGGAAAUUAAAUAUACUCAAGACUUUUGGAAGAAUCGCUUAAAAUUCAGCCAGGCACAAGAAGACCAUUUAGAGGGGCCGCUGCAAAGGCACUCCCUCCGAACUACACUGCACUGAACUGACCUGGUUACGGCGCCUGUACAAGUGACCCGGGAUGGAGUAUUGGCGGCAGGGCAGCUCUACGAAAGCUGCUGUGGGAGUGCUGCCCUCCACAGCAAGCAAGGGGCUGCCCUGCCCAGACCACAGCAAGAGGAGGAAGAGCUCUGCAUUACUAAGUUAAGUACCUCACUAUGACAUUCUGAGGGUUUGGCCUCAUUUUUGCCUUCUAUUUAAAACUUUUUACUUUCUAAUGAACCUUAAUCUUUUUCUCAGCCUGCCUCCUCCUCCUCCUCCUUCAACUUCCUUUACCUCCUUGUGUGAAUCUGUCCGUCCCGAGAUCCGGCGAGACCAUCCCGACGUCGUAACACCCGUUUGGGAGUGGGGGGACUCAUGAAGCUGGGGGCGGCAGCCCUAAGGUGGGGAGGGUUGCGCCGACACCUCCACUCCGUUUCGGCGGAAUGUGGCUGGCUAGGGUGGCCUGAACCACUGUCUGGGUUGUUUGUCGUUCAGUCGGAUUGAGGAUCUGCCUCCCUUGAGGUGCACAUGUCAUAGUGGUGGCAGAAGAGUGAGUGAGUGAAGCUGAUGUCAUCCCGACGUCGUAACACCGUUGGGCGGGGCGGGGCUCUCAUGUCAAGUCUCCCCGCGGUGCACAUGUCACAGAGGUGCAAACAGCAUGGCCUUCUUUCCUAUCUUUUCCCCCUCCUCCUCCUCCACCCCCUCCCCCACACACACCUCCUGCUGUUAUAUCGUCACCCUCAUAAAGUAAUUGCCUAAGUCAUUUUUCAGUGAUUUCCAUUUUUGUUAAGUUGUCUUAGAUAUUCAGGGUUUGAGUGUUCUAGAAUUGCCUUUUUAUUUCUGCCUAAAUCUUAAGCCAAAUGAGAUGAUGACGUUCUCUUCUUGAAAAAUAGAAAAUAACGACUUGGGCGGUUUCUUUACGAAGGUGGCGAGAUUGUAAUAGGUUUUGCACCCUCUAUUUAGGGAUGUGCACUAAUUUUUGUCUCUUCUCUUCCCCUCCUCCUCCCCUGGCUGGCCGGGGAACGGAGGAGGAGCACUAGGACGAGGAGGUGAAGGGAGGCGGAGGGAGAGACGACUCGAGCACAGGGAGGCAAGAGACAAGAAGCAGAGACGCAGGAACAGAAAGGCAGCCAGAUGGUCGAUGCUGUGAAGAGGAGGAAGAUGACUGCAGGAGGCGGUGUGUGUGUGUGUUGGGGAAGGAGACAACAGUACCAUCCUCACACACAGCGGGUUAAGGCCUGCAAGAGAGCCUAGUCAAUGAAGAGGAAAAGAAGACAAGAAUAAAGAAUAAAGAAGACAAGAAGAAAGAAGAGAGGCAAAACAGGAGGAGGGGAUUUUUUUUCUGUCUAUACCUGAAGUGUGAUGAAUUUACUAAGGGUAUAUUUAAGCCUGAUAUAACGUACUUUAAGGUAUAUUUAAUGGUACAAGUGUGUAGCCUACUUUUGCCUGGAGUUGGAGACGGUAAAAUGCUCUCCGACUCCUUUAUUGUGGUGCUGUGUGGUUUGUUUACUGUGGUGCGAUGUGGGUCAUUUACUGUGGUGCGGUGUGGCUCGUUAACUGAGGUGAGGUAUGGUUCGUUUAUUGUGGUGCGGUAUGGUUCGUUUACUGUGGUGCGGUGUGGCUUGUUAAUUAAGGUGAGGUGUGGUCCAUUUAUUGUGGUGCGGUGUGGUUCGUUAAUUAAGGUGAGGUAUGGUUCGUUUAUUGUAGUGCGAUGUGGUUCGUUUACUGUGGUGGGGUGUGGCUCGUUAAUUAAGGUGAGGUGUGGUUCAUUUAUUGUGGUGCGAUGUGGCGUUGCGGACUUUAAUUUCCCUACCACUGCACCAGAUAAGGGUAAGGGGGAGGGGGUGGAGUCAAAUUUUUUUAUAUCCGACUUCACACCCGUGUUAGAGUGUAAGAGUAUUGAUGGAAUAUAUUUAAGGUGCUGGGGGAUACUGUGGUGCUCUCGUCGCGGCAACCCAUUCUGCUUCUACAUAUUAACCCGUACUGCUAACGCAUAGCAACUCGUGUUUUUUUCCGCUGUUGCAACGACCCAUUCUGCUGCAUGACGCAUAGCAACUCGUGUUUUUUCCGCUGCCGCAACGACCUGUUCUGCUGCAUGACGCAUAGCAACCCGUGUUUUUUCCGCUGUUGCAACGACCCGUACUGCUAACGCAUAAUGACCUGUGCUGCUUCUGCUAUUGUAACAACUCUUACUGCAAUAACUUACUGCUGCUUCCAUUUAAAAAUGUAUAAACGCAUAAACCCGCUGUGUUGCCAACUUGUCAACAACCCAACUAAUGAAUUUUCUGAUCAAAGAUCAAAGAGAGGAUUAGGCCUUCAGGGGACACCUCUUAAAUAAAAACGCGCCUGGGACUUUUACCUCAGAGGUGGUGUGGAAAAAAAGUCCAGUCACGAAAAUAAGUAUCUUAUACUCCAUGAAAGUGUCUCAGUCUUAUGAGAACACAAAGGCUGAGAGGGCUCAAACAUUCUGUUGUUUCCCGCAUAUGCUCCCACGUUAACAGUAAGGGUACUAAAUUCCGAUCUCUAUACAAAACAACCAAAUAUACAUAAUAACGACAGAAAGUUAAAUAAAAUGUUUGCCUGCAUUACCCGUCAGCAGCGUAGACGUAACAAGGGUUGAAAAAAUGACUUAUUUAUUACAGCCGCUGGCCAACGCCUUGACCCCAGAGGCUUUGUGUUUGUCUCCGCGUCCUCCGCACUACACUGCACAGAAUCUGGCGAGCCUGGGUUGUGACAGCUAUUUCCCAAAGCCUCCAAGGAUACCAGUCAGGCUUAUGAGUGUUUUUCGUGUUGUUGGGGAAGCUCGCAAAUCUACACCUGGAAAUACUACUACCAACACAACCCAUAUGAAAGCCUUUCCUAAAACAUAAAACCUCUACCAGUGCCUUACCAGAAAGAACCAAAGCUUACCAAAUACCCAAAAAUCUCUACUAUUUGUGGUUGACUCAAGGUAUUGAAUUUUCACUUAUUUUUUUACACUGAAUUUAGUGUCCCUUAUAUGUCUUGUUGGGUCUGUUAUUUGUUCUAUAUAUAAGGUAUUGAAUUUGCACUUAUUUUUUAUAAUGACGUUAGUGUCCCUCAUAUGUCGUGUCAUUGAGGGAGUGUUUGGGUCUAUUAUUUGUUCUAUAUAUAAGGUAUUGAAUUUCCACUGAUUUUUUAUGUUACUGUCCCUCAUAUGUUGUGUCAUUGAGGGAGUGUUUGGGUCUAUCAUUUUUGUUUUGAUGCCCCUUUUAUGGAUCUAAAUAAUGACAUCCACCUUUAAAUAAAUGUAUGUGUCUGUGGUCAUCCCAAAGCUGAAGGUUGGUAUCUACUCCACUGUUUUUCAUGUUUUCUCGGACAGUUCAUAUUAUUAGCAAAUGUUUUUACCCGUCCGCUGUGAUUGGCACGAAUUUCGCCUUCACUGGUAACCUGGUAACAUGUACUCCCAGAUCAUUCUCUGCCUCUGUGGUGGAUAGUGGAGUGUUUCCCAUGUGGUAUUGGUGUGCUGGAUAUCCCUUCACUGGUAGCCUGGUAACAUAUGUACUCCCAGAUCAUUCUUUGUCUCUGUGGUGGAUAGUGGAGUGCUUCCCACGUGGUACUGGUGUGGUGGAUAUCCCCUCCCAAGGUGCAGGACUAUAUUUUUCUUCACUGAAUUGUAGCAGCCACUUUUUGCUCCACUCCUGUAGCUUGGUGAUGUCUUCUUGUAGGAAAUCCACAGUGAAGGGUUUAAGCAAAUGAGGUUUUACCCUCCCAUGACCAGUGUACAGAAGGGACCCUGUAGUUGUUUGAAGGAAUAUUACCGGAUUGAUUAACUAGAUGGUACAUAUUAGAUUAGGGCAAAAUGUGAGAAUGGGGGCAGGAGACUGGCUUCAACUAGAGGGUAUAAUACAGAAUGACCUUGUAGUUGUUUGAAGGAAUAUUACUGGACUUGGGAGAGAGGGUGGAGGGAGGAGGAAAAAUAUUGAUAAUAGACGAUAAUGGGAAAGUGAUACAGUGAUGAUGGUGUUGAUGGUGGUCAAUGUAAUAGUGAUCCUUUAUAUGGUGAUGAAGGGGAAGGUGAUAGGUACUGGUGAUGAUGGUAAUGGUGAUGUUAUAGUGAUGGAGGGAUACUUGAAAUGAGGCAGUGCUGGUGAUGCGUUAUAAUGAUGGAGGGAGGGAUGUGGCAGGUGGCUGGAUGAGAGGGGAAGGGGAGGUGAGGGGAAGAGGAGGAAGCGUGGGGGGUGAAUGGGUAAGAAGGGAGAAGGGAGGGGAUGGGGGCAGGAGAUGAAUACAUAGGAAGAACAGACACCAGAAGACCUAUCAGUCUAUGGCGAGGGUGUCUGUUU